UCAAAUGAAUUGACGGGGGCCCGCACAAGCGGUGGAGCAUGUGGUUUAAUUCGAUGCAACGCGAAGAACCUUACCUGGUCUUGACAUCCACAGAACUUUCCAGAGAUGGAUUGGUGCCUUCGGGAACUGUGAGACAGGUGCUGCAUGGCUGUCGUCAGCUCGUGUUGUGAAAUGUUGGGUUAAGUCCCGCAACGAGCGCAACCCUUAUCCUUUGUUGCCAGCGGUCCGGCCGGGAACUCAAAGGAGACUGCCAGUGAUAAACUGGAGGAAGGUGGGGAUGACGUCAAGUCAUCAUGGCCCUUACGACCAGGGCUACACACGUGCUACAAUGGCGCAUACAAAGAGAAGCGACCUCGCGAGAGCAAGCGGACCUCAUAAAGUGCGUCGUAGUCCGGAUUGGAGUCUGCAACUCGACUCCAUGAAGUCGGAAUCGCUAGUAAUCGUGGAUCAGAAUGCCACGGUGAAUACGUUCCCGGGCCUUGUACACACCGCCCGUCACACCAUGGGAGUGGGUUGCAAAAGAAGUAGGUAGCUUAACCUUCGGGAGGGCGCUUACCACUUUGUGAUUCAUGACUGGGGUGAAGUCGUAACAAGGUAACCGUAGGGGAACCUGCGGUUGGAUCAC
rnacentral:rRNA from 1 species